ACGAACGCUGGCGGCGUGCUUAACACAUGCAAGUCGAGCGGUAAGGCCCUUUCGGGGGUACACGAGCGGCGAACGGGUGCGUAACACGUGGGUGACCUGCCCUCAGCUCUGGGAUAAGCCUGGGAAACCGGGUCUAAUACCGGAUAUGACUCCAUGACGCAUGUUGUGGGGUGGAAAGCCUUGUGCGGCUGAGGAUGGGCCCGCGGCCUAUCAGCUUGUUGGUGGGGUGAUGGCCUACCAAGGCGACGACGGGUAGCCGGCCUGAGAGGGCGACCGGCCACACUGGGACUGAGACACGGCCCAGACUCCUACGGGAGGCAGCAGUGGGGAAUCUUGCGCAAUGGGCGAAAGCCUGACGCAGCGACGCCGCGUGAGGGAUGACGGCCUGGU
rnacentral:rRNA from 1 species